rnacentral:rRNA from 1 species
GUCUACGGCCAUACCACCCUGAACGCGCCCGAUCUCGUCUGAUCUCGGAAGCUAAGCAGGGUCGGGCCUGGUUAGUACUUGGAUGGGAGAACCCCCGACAAGGCCUGCAGGGAGAGUGAGGACC